rnacentral:rRNA from 1 species
CCUACGGGAGGCAGCAGUGGGGAAUAUUGGGCAAUGGAGGAAACUCUGACCCAGCGACGCCGCGUGCGGGAUGAAGGCCUUCGGGUUGUAAACCGCUUUCAGCAGGGAAGAAGCGAAAGUGACGGUACCUGCAGAAGAAGCACCGGCUAACUAUGUGCCAGCAGCCGCGGUAAUACAUAGGGUGCAAGCGUUGUCCGGAAUUAUUGGGCGUAAAGAGCUCGUAGGUGGUUCGUCACGUCGGAUGUGAAAAUCUGGGGCUUAACCCCAGACCUGCAUUCGAUACGGGCGAGCUUGAGUAUGGUAGGGGAGUCUGGAAUUCCUGGUGUAGCGGUGGAAUGCGCAGAUAUCAGGAGGAACACCAAUGGCGAAGGCAGGACUCUGGGCCAUUACUGACACUGAGGAGCGAAAGCGUGGGGAGCGAACAGGAUUAGAUACCCUGGUAGUCCACGCCGUAAACGGUGGGCACUAGUUGUGGGGACCUUCCACGGUCUCUGCGACGCAGCUAACGCAUUAAGUGCCCCGCCUGGGGAGUACGAUCGCAAGAUUAAAACUCAAAGGAAUUGACGGCUGAGAGNGCGAGACGACGACGAGGGAGAGG